AGUGAACGCUGGCGGUAGGCCUAACACAUGCAAGUCGAACGGCAGCACAGUAAGAGCUUGCUCUUACGGGUGGCGAGUGGCGGACGGGUGAGGAAUACAUCGGAAUCUACUUUUUCGUGGGGGAUAACGUAGGGAAACUUACGCUAAUACCGCAUACGACCUACGGGUGAAAGCGGGGGAUCUUCGGACCUUGCGCGAUUGAAUGAGCCGAUGUCGGAUUAGCUAGUUGGCGGGGUAAAGGCCCACCAAGGCGACGAUCCGUAGCUGGUCUGAGAGGAUGAUCAGCCAAACUGGAACUGAGACACGGUCCAGACUCCUACGGGAGGCAGCAGUGGGGAAUAUUGGACAAUGGGCGCAAGCCUGAUCCAGCCAUACCGCGUGGGUGAAGAAGGCCUUCGGGUUGUAAAGCCCUUUUGUUGGGAAAGAAAAGCAGCAGGUUAAUACCCCGCUGUUCUGACGGUACCCAAAGAAUAAGCACCGGCUAACUUCGUG
rnacentral:rRNA from 1 species